GGCUCCGUCGCUCAACUGGCAGAAGCACUGGUCUUAGAAACCAGCAAGUGAGUGUUCGAAUCACUCCGGGGCUAC
rnacentral:tRNA from 1 species